rnacentral:rRNA from 1 species
AGUGAACGCUGGCGGUAGGCCUAACACAUGCAAGUCUAACGGCAGCACAGGAGAGCUUGCUCUCUGGGUGGCGAGUGGCGGACGGGUGAGGAAUACAUAGGAAUCUCCCCUGUCGUGGCGGAUGCCGUAGGGAAACUUACUCUAAGACCGCAUACGACCUACGGGUGAAAGCAGAUGUCGGUCGGGCCUUGCGCGAUUGAAUGAGCCGAUGUCGGAUUCGCGGGUUGGCGGGGUAAAUGCCCACCAAGGCGACUCUCCGUAGCUGGUCUGGGCGUAGGAGCAGCCACUCUCGAACUGAGCCAGGGGAAAGACUCCCAAGGGAGGCAGCAGUGGGGAAUAUUGGACAAUGAGCGCAAGCCUGACACAGCCAUCGACAGUGGGUGGAGAAGGCAUUCGGGUUGUAAAGCCCUUUGCGUCGCUAAGAAAUCCAGCUCGCUAAAACCCUGUCGGGAUGACCGUCAACAAAGAAUAAGAAACGGCUAACUUCGUGCCAGCCGGAGCGGGAA